UAGGGAAUCUUCGGCAAUGGACGGAAGUCUGACCGAGCAACGCCGCGUGAGUGAAGAAGGUUUUCGGAUCGUAAAGCUCUGUUGUAAGAGAAGAACGAGUGUGAGAGUGGAAAGUUCACACUGUGACGGUAUCUUACCAGAAAGGGACGGCUAACUACGUGCCAGCAGCCGCGGUAAUACGUAGGUCCCGAGCGUUGUCCGGAUUUAUUGGGCGUAAAGCGAGCGCAGGCGGUUAGAUAAGUCUGAAGUUAAAGGCUGUGGCUUAACCAUAGUAGGCUUUGGAAACUGUUUAACUUGAGUGCAAGAGGGGAGAGUGGAAUUCCAUGUGUAGCGGUGAAAUGCGUAGAUAUAUGGAGGAACACCGGUGGCGAAAGCGGCUCUCUGGCUUGUAACUGACGCUGAGGCUCGAAAGCGUGGGGAGCAAACAGGAUUAGAUACCCUGGUAGUCCACGCCGUAAACGAUGAGUGCUAGGUGUUAGACCCUUUCCGGGGUUUAGUGCCGUAGCUAACGCAUUAAGCACUCCGCCUGGGGAGUACGACCGCAAGGUUG
rnacentral:rRNA from 1 species